UGGGGAAUAUUGCACAAUGGGCGCAAGCCUGAUGCAGCGACGCCGCGUGGGGGAUGACGGCCUUCGGGUUGUAAACUCCUUUCGCUAGGGACGAAGCUUUUGGUGACGGUACCUAGAUAAGAAGAACCGGCUAACUACGUGCCAGCAGCCGCGGUAAUACGUAGGGUGCGAGCGUUGUCCGGAAUUACUGGGCGUAAAGGGCUCGUAGGUGGUUUGUCGCGUCGUCUGUGAAAUUCCGGGGCUUAACUCCGGGCGUGCAGGCGAUACGGGCAUAACUUGAGUACUGUAGGGGUAACUGGAAUUCCUGGUGUAGCGGUGAAAUGCGCAGAUAUCAGGAGGAACACCGAUGGCGAAGGCAGGUUACUGGGCAGUUACUGACGCUGAGGAGCGAAAGCAUGGGUAGCGAACAGG
rnacentral:rRNA from 1 species